UACGAAGGGGGCAAGCGUUGUCCGGAAUUAUUGGGCGUAAAGAGCUCGUAGGCGGUCUGUUGCGUCCGCUGUGAAAACUCGGGGCUUAACCCCGAGCCUGCAGUGGAUACGGGCAGACUAGAGGUAGGUAGGGGAGAAUGGAAUUCCCGGUGUAGCGGUGAAAUGCGCAGAUAUCGGGAGGAACACCGGUGGCGAAGGCGGUUCUCUGGGCCUUACCUGACGCUGAGGAGCGAAAGCGUGGGGAGCGAACAGG
rnacentral:rRNA from 1 species